rnacentral:rRNA from 1 species
AUGGCUGCCCUCCGCCUCGCCUCCGCCCUCCGCCGCCUGCCAGCUCGCACCGGCCAGCUCGGCUCCAAGCAGGUCGUCCUCCCGCCUCUCGCCGGCCGCACCGCCCUCCUCGCACGCGCGCGCUCCCUCCCUCACCUCCCCGCCGCCGUCCGUCGUUUCUCCGACAAGAGCAAGGGGGAUCUCCUCGACCGCGCCGCCACCGUGAUCAAGGAAGGGAAGGUGAUUUCCCGUGACAUCACCAAGGGAAUCGAGGGUCUUGAAGAUCUUAUCGGACGGCAGCUUGACGUGUGUUCAAUCGAGCUCUCGGCCACGAUAAGGCGUCAGAUUAGGCACAGUCUGGAAGAAGCUAGCCAAGUUCCGUGGGGGCAUCUGGGUAUCCAGGCCUUGGCGUUUCUAUCUGUAGGAGGGGUUCUCGCUUACGGAGGGGGCACACACCUCUUCAACAAGUUCAGCGCGGAGGUCAAGAAGAUAACUGACGAUGCCAUGAUCGAAGCGGAGAAAAGGGCGAAGGAACUUGCAAAAACCGAGUGGGCCAAGGAGACAGCGCAGCUAUAUAUAGACCAGGGUAUGAAGAGCAUCACGCUGUAUAGCCUUUUCUUUGGACGGAAGGUGGAGGGAGAGAAGGCCAAGAAGACAUUCUUUAGCCGUUUCUUUGGGCGGAAGGAGAAGGACAAGAAGGAGGAGGAGGAGGAGGUCAAGAAGUAG